rnacentral:rRNA from 1 species
AUUGAACGCUGGCGGCAGGCUUAACACAUGCAAGUCGAACGAGUGGCGGACGGGUGAGUAAUAUAUGGGAAAGUGCCCAAUGGAGGGGGAUAACUACUGGAAAGGGUGGCUAAUACCGCAUACCAUCGGAGCGGCCGAGAUCGGAUUAGCUAGUUGGUGGGGUAAAGGCUCACCAAGGCAACGAUCCGUAGCUGGUCUGAGAGGAGGACCAGCCACACUGGGACUGAGACACGGCCCAGACUCCGACGGGAGGCAGCAGUGGGGAAUAUUGCACAAUGGGGGAAACCCUGAUGCAGCCAUGCCGCGUGUAUGAUGAAGGCCUUCGGGUUGUAAAGUACUUUUAGCGGGGAGGCGUUACCCGCAGAAUAAGCACCGGCUAACUCCGUGCCAGCAGCCGCGGUAAUUC